CCCCUAGAUGUUCUGGGCCGCACGCGCGCUACACUGAACAGUUCAACAAGUCUUAACCUUGGCCGAUAGGUCUGGGUAAUCUUUGAACGCUGUUCGUGAUUGGGAUAGACCUUUGCAAUUAUGGGUCUUCAACGAGGAAUUCCUAGUAAACGCAAGUCAUCAGCUUGCAUUGAUUACGUCCCUGCCCUUUGUACACACCGCCCGUCGCACCUACCGAUUGAAUGGUCCGGUGAACCCUCCGGAUCGGCUCGCGCCAACGCAAGUUGAGCAAAGGCCGAGAAGUUGGGUAAACCUUACCAUUUAGAGGAAGGUGAAGUCGUAACA
rnacentral:rRNA from 1 species